UACAGAGGGGGCAAGCGUUAUUCGGAAUUAUUGGGCGUAAAGGGCGCGUAGGCGGCCUGGCAAGUGGAAGGUGAAAUCCCUCGGCUUAACCGAGGAACUGCCUCCCAAACUGCUUGGCUUGAGACCGGGAGAGGUGAGUGGAAUUCCCAGUGUAGCGGUGAAAUGCGUAGAUAUUGGGAGGAACACCAGUGGCGAAGGCGGCUCACUGGACCGGUACUGACGCUGAUGGCGCGAAAAGCGUGGGGAGCAA
rnacentral:rRNA from 1 species